AUAGGGGAGCCGAAGGGAAACCGAGUCUUAACUGGGCGUUAAGUUGCAGGGUAUAGACCCGAAACCCGGUGAUCUAGCCAUGGGCAGGUUGAAGGUUGGGUAACACUAACUGGAGGACCGAACCGACUAAUGUUGAAAAAUUAGCGGAUGACUUGUGGCUGGGGGUGAAAGGCCAAUCAAACCGGGAGAUAGCUGGUUCUCCCCGAAAGCUAUUUAGGUAGCGCCUCGUGAACUCAUCUUCGGGGGUAGAGCACUGUUUCGGCUAGGGGGUCAUCCCGACUUACCAACCCGAUGCAAACUGCGAAUACCGAAGAAUGUUAUCACGGGAGACACACGGCGGGUGCUAACGUCCGUCGUGAAGAGGGAAACAACCCAGACCGCCAGCUAAGGUCCCAAAGUCACAGUUAAGUGGGAAACGAUGUGGGAAGGCUCAGACAGCCAGGAUGUUGGCUUAGAAGCAGCCAUCAUUUAAAGAAAGCGUAAUAGCUCACUGGUCGAGUCGGCCUGCGCGGAAGAUGUAACGGGGCUAAACUGUGCACCGAAGCUGCGGCAGCGACGCUUAUGCGUUGUUGGGUAGGGGUGCGUUCUGUAAGCCUGCGAAGGUGUCCUGUGAGGGAUGCUGGAGGUAUCAGAAGUGCGAAUGCUGACAUAAGUAACGAUAAUGCGGGUGAAAAGCCCGCUCGCCGGAAGACCAAGGGUUCCUGUCCAACGUUAAUCGGGGCAGGGUGAGUCGACCCCUAAGGCGAGGCCGAAAGGCGUAGUCGAUGGGAAACGGGUUAAUAUUCCCGUACUUGGUGUUACUGCGAAGGGGGGACGGAGAAGGCUAUGUUGGCCGGGCGACGGUUGUCCCGGUUUAAGCGUGUAGGCUGGUUUUCCAGGCAAAUCCGGAAAAUCAAGGCUGAGGCGUGAUGACGAGGCACUACGGUGCUGAAGCAACAAAUGCCCUGCUUCCAGGAAAAGCCU
rnacentral:rRNA from 1 species